AUUUAUAGUUUUUAAUGUCAUUAUGCUAACACAUAUACAAUAACCUUUUAAAUUUCGAUUUCCUAAUGUUGGGUUUUGUUAUUCUCAACCACUUUUUACUUUUCUUCUCUCUACGAUCCCAAGACAAAUAAUAUCUUUCGAUACUGUUAAAUAUAGAUAUCUGGACUGAAUUGAACUUACAUGACAAUUGCAGUCAAGAUUCUGGAACUCAGAAUGGGCAAACCAGGAAUUAUGAUGGAGAAUGAAAAUCCAUGUGGAAAGGGGGCCCCAGUUGUCUCUGCCACCUCAGUUGAGGCUCAUACCUGUGAGUGAACCCAGAUAGGAAUAGGGAGGGUGGAAGCAGAGCAGCGGCCCUUUUAUUUUUUGGUCAAGAAUGGAGUGGGUGCUUUUGUUGCUGCCUGUUUGCUGGCUUAUCUCAUUGCUGUGGGGCAGUGUCCAGAAACUGCCAACACAGCACCCCUGGAUCCUCCUUCAGCUUCUCCAGCCCCUGGGUCAGCUUCCUUUUUAACUGCCUGCCCUGUGGACUUCAGGUUCUAGCAUUGGACAUGAAGAUAACAGCCUAACUGAAGAUGAGCUCUUCUCCCAUCUUUAUUGAAGAGAACCAGGUCCAGAG